rnacentral:tRNA from 2 species
UGGGGGAUCGUCUAGCGGCAGGACGACGGACUCUGACUCCGUCUACCGAGGUUCGAAUCCUCGUCCCCCAGCCA